rnacentral:rRNA from 1 species
UACGUAGGGCGCAAGCGUUGUCCGGAAUUAUUGGGCGUAAAGAGCUCGUAGGCGGUUUUGUCGCGUCGGGAGUGAAAACAUCCAGCUUAACUGGGUGCUUGCUUUCGAUACGGGCAGACUUGAGGUAUGCAGGGGAGAAUGGAAUUCCUGGUGUAGCGGUGAAAUGCGCAGAUAUCAGGAGGAACACCGGUGGCGAAGGCGGUUCUCUGGGCAUUACCUGACGCUGAGGAGCGAAAGUGUGGGGAGCGAACAGG